GGUAGCGAAAUUCCUUGUCGGGUAAGUUCCGACCUGCACGAAUGGCGUAACGAUCUGGGCACUGUCUCCACAGGGGGCUCAGCGAAUCUGUAGUACCGGUGAAGAUGCCGGUUACCCGCAUGAAGACGGAAAGACCCUGUGAACCUUUACUGCACCUUGGCAGUGAUCCCUGAUGCGUUAUGUGUAGGAUAGGUGGGAGGCUUUGAAGCCGGGACGCCAGUCUCGGUGGAGUCAUUGGUGAAAUACCACCCUUAGCGUAUUGGAGAUCUAACCUGGGCCCGUGAUCCGGGUCGGGGACACUGUCAGGCGGGUAGUUUGACUGGGGCGGUCGCCUCCUAAAGAGUAACGGAGGCGCUCGAAGGUUCCCUCAGGCUGAUUGGAAACCAGCCGCAGAGCGCAAAGGCAGAAGGGAGCUUGACUGCGAGACCUACAAGUCGAGCAGGUACGAAAGUAGGACUUAGUGAUCCGGUGGUUCCGUAUGGAAGGGCCAUCGCUCAACGGAUAAAAGGUACUCCGGGGAUAACAGGCUUAUCGCCGCCAAGAGUUCACAUCGACGCGGCGGUUUGGCACCUCGAUGUCGGCUCAUCACAUCCUGGGGCUGAAGCAGGUCCCAAGGGUUCGGCUGUUCGCCGAUUAAAGUGGUACGUGAGCUGGGUUUAGAACGUCGCGAGACAGUUCGGUCCCUAUCUCAUGUGGGCGUAGGAUACUUGAGAGGAGCUGUCCCUAGUACGAGAGGACCGGGACGGACGAACCUCUGGUGCACCAGUUGUCGCGCCAGCGGCACAGCUGGGUAGCUAUGUUCGGUUCGGAUAACCGCUGAAAGCAUCUAAGCGGGAAGCCAGCCUCGAGAUGAGGUAUCCCUGAAGACCCCUGGCAGAUUACCAGGUUGAUAGGCGGGGCGUGUAAGCGCUGCGAGGCGUUUAGCUAACCCGUACUAAUCGGUCGUUCGGCUUGACCAAUUUCAAGAU
rnacentral:rRNA from 1 species